UUGGAGGGCAAGUCUGGUGCCAGCAGCCGCGGUAAUUACCAGCUCCGAAUAGCGUAUAUUAAAGUUGUUGCAGUUAAAAAGCUCGUAGUUGAACCUUGGCUCUGGCUGGCCGGUCCGCCUCACCGCGAGUACUGGUCCGGCUGGAGCUUUCCUUCUGGGGAACCUCAUGGCCUUCACUGGCUGUGGGGGGGACCAGGACUUUUACUGUGAAAAAAUUAGAGUGUUCAAAGCAGGCCUUUGCUCGAAUACAUUAGCAUGGAAUAAUAGAAUAGG
rnacentral:rRNA from 1 species